GGGCCGUUAGCUCAGUUGGUAGAGCAGCUGACUCUUAAUCAGCGGGUCGUAGGUUCGAAACCUACACGGCCCACCA
rnacentral:tRNA from 3 species